rnacentral:rRNA from 1 species
GGAAACCGGGGGACGGGGGCAGGUGAAAGGCAGGGGGGGCGAGCGGUGGCGGGAGUGACUGGGCGGAAGGCGGACGCAGGCGGCCAGGCAAGUGGGGUGUGAAAGCGGGCGGCUUAACCGCCCGAGGCCAUCUCAGACUGCUUGGCUCGAGCCCGGGAGAGGUCCCUCGAAUUGCCGGUGUAGUGGUGAAAUGCGUAGAGAUCGGCAGGAAGACCAAGGGGGAAGCCAGGGGACUGGCGCGGUGCUGACGCUCAGGUGCGACAGCGUGGGGAGCGAACCGGAUUAGAUACCCUAGUAGUC